CACGGGGUGGAGCAGUGGACAGCUCGCCAAUUUGACUUGUUGGAGGCCGCAAGUUCGAUUCUUGCCCCCGCAA
rnacentral:tRNA from 1 species